GAUGAACGCUAGCGGGAGGCCUAACACAUGCAAGCCGAGCGGUAUUUGUCUUUCGGGACAGAGAGAGCGGCGUACGGGUGCGGAACACGUGUGCAACCUGCCUUUAUCUGGGGGAUAGCCUUUCGAAAGGAAGAUUAAUACCCCAUAAUAUAAUGAAUGGCAUCAUUUAUUAUUGAAAACUCCGGUGGAUAGAGAUGGGCACGCGCAAGAUCAGAUAGUUGGUGAGGUAACGGCUCACCAAGUCGAUGAUCUUUAGGGGGCCUGAGAGGGUGAUCCCCCACACUGGUACUGAGACACGGACCAGACUCCUACGGGAGGCAGCAGUGAGGAAUAUUGGACAAUGGGUUAGCGCCUGAUCCAGCCAUCCCGCGUGAAGGACGACGGCCCUAUGGGUUGUAAACUUCUUUUGUACAGGGAUAAACCUACUCUCGUGAGAGUAGCUGAAGGUACUGUACGAAUAAGCACCGGCUAACUCCGUGCCAGCAGCCGCAGUAA
rnacentral:rRNA from 1 species